AAAUUAUAACAAUAAUUCGGAGAAGGGUGGAGUUUCUAACUCAGAACUUAUCCACUAGGAUAUUGGACAACAUGUUAUAACGUUCCAGACCAAACAUUCUCUCAUUACUGUUAAUUAAUUGGAUCUUCAAGGAACGAGUAGAGUACAAAAAUGAAACUUUGACUCGAGUAUCCCUCUAAAUUGGGAUAAUAAAAAAAGGCCUGUUGCUUUGUUCAUUCGGAACAAAAUAUUUUCUUUGUGCGCUUCAACUAUAAUGUGGAGUGGGUGUAGAGGGUCGAUAGAUAGAUGGCCUUAGAGUUGGCUUAUGUAGUUACAAAAUUACGUUUUGGGAUUAUUUGAGUUGGUAAGUGUUUUUGUUCUACUGUUUUUAGAUUUCUUUAUUUGAAUAGUUUUAUUAUCUGUUUUUUCGGUUGCUCAAUCUGUAUUUGAGUUUCAAUUUGAACUCCAAAUUGUUCUGUACUGUUUCUUCAUUGUUUAUGCACGAUUAUUUCUUCAAAAUACCUCCAUUUAUUUACUAUAUUUGUAUCAAAUGAUGGAAGAACCAGCCGAGGAUCAAAGACGUAGUACAUAAACAAAGAAGCUAGAUCAGAACGAUUCAAUUGAUGUGACACAAAAGGAAGACAGAAGAAAAGUGCCAAUGACUAAAAACAGUGAAUAUGCCCAGUUCAAGUGCACUAUGGUUGGAUUUGGUGAGAAAAUGGCUGAGUUGAAGAACAUAUUUGAACAAAAGCCGCUUGUCUUGAAGAAGCUUUACAGCACACCAUUUGGAGCACUGAUAAAGGCGUAUCAAGAAGGGAAAAUGACGGUAAGAAAGUCAAAUUUGGAUGUCAAAGAAGUUUGCAAAUGGUAUGACACAACAAAGAAAAAGUUCAAGUUUCAAAAUGGAUAUAGUCAUAUCACUACUGAAGAUGUUGUGCGGAUUUAUGGGAUACCGAACAAAGGAACAGAAGCACCAAAAACAACAAAUUCAAGAAAGGGAAAACCAGGUGUUUCUCGAUUAACAGACAAGUUCUUCAGUGCAACGGCAAGACCCGACAAGAGGGAUCUCUCUAAUGCAAUUGAACUUGCAUUUGAAGGUGAUUCAGAGAGAGGGCAAGAUGAUGCAGCAUGUUUAAUAGUGUUGUACUUACUUAUCACUUUAUUGCUUGCAAAUUCUGGAAACUACCUGCCAUGGAGUUACGUCCAAGCUUGUGAGAGUGUAGAACAGAUAAAGACAUAUAAUUGGGCAAGAGAGAUAAAAGAAUACCUUCAAAACGGAAUCCACAAAGCUCAGUCAAAACUGAGGAGAAAGGGAAACAAUCUGCAAUAAGUGGAUGCGUCAUGACUCUGCUGUAUUGGUUGUGCGAUCGAGGAAAUAUGAUCAAACCGAUUGAAGGGAGGGAGAAAAGUGAACCCACUGCAGUGAGAUGGGACCUCCACAUACUCCAUAAACGCUUACAAAAGAUAAAAAAAUAUUCAAAUCAAGAUGGACAAUGCAAUAGAGGAGGGAGAUUCAAACCUUGUUCAAGAAAAAACUGAUAACAGUGACUUUGUGAAUCCUCCAACUAAUUCAAAUACUCAAAAAAGAAAGCUAGAAAAGCCCUGUCUUUCCCCUUUUGGAUUCCAUCAAGAGCCAAUGACCCCAUAUUUGGGAGCAUUCCAAUUCCCAGCUUUGAUGACAUUGAAUCCCUGCUCGUAGUCUCAGAGGUUUGUUUCUAAAUUUUUUUUUUUUGCUUUGUCAAAUGCAUGAAUUGUAUACUACAAUAUCCUGUCCACAUGGGUGGAUAACAGAAGUAGGAUCAUCUAGCUUAUUGUUAUUUGACAAAUGAUAGGAUAUUAACAAAAUAGCUUUAUACAUUGUCAUCCCAUCCGUAUGGGUUGAACCAUACACCUCCUCCAACAAAGUGGAAACAAAAGAACAACUGGUCAUGUGCAAAUAGGAUCAUGAUCAUCUACUUGUAAUUUGUUUGUUGGUAUUGUCCUAAAACAGUUAUGUUUUAGAGUGUAGGGUUUAGCAUUUAAGAAUUUAGUUUGUCACCUUAAUCAACUCUAAUGUAAAGUGUCAUUUGAGCUGGGCUUAUUUCAAUGGGUAAGUGGGCGUAGAGCUUGGUUGGAUGGCAAUUGAGUUGGCCUAUGUAGUCCAAAUUUUCAGAUAUUAAGUGUAGAGACAUUUUCGUUGUUGCAACUGUAUUUAGGUCAUAAUUCCUAUCUCAUGAGUUUUGUCAUCUGUAGACGUGUAAGUGUUCAAUGCCGGAUUGAAAAGCUUUGGAUAUCACUUUAUGCUUGAAGUGGUUUCGUUUGUUCACCAUUCAUAAGAGAUGAUGAGCUUUGUACAUACCUGUU